rnacentral:rRNA from 1 species
GACGAACGCUGGCGGCGUGCUUAACACAUGCAAGUCGAGCGGUAAGGCCCUUUCGGGGGUACACGAGCGGCGAACGGGUGAGUAACACGUGGGUGACCUGCCCUCAGCUCUGGGAUAAGCCUGGGAAACUGGGUCUAAUACUGGAUAUGACUCCACGGUGCAUGUCGUGGGGUGGAAAGCCUUGUGCGGCUGAGGAUGGGCCCGCGGCCUAUCAGCUUGUUGGUGGGGUGANGGCCUACCAAGGCGACGACGGGUAGCCGGCCUGAGAGGGCGACCGGCCACACUGGGACUGAGACACGGCCCAGACUCCUACGGGAGGCAGCAGGUGGGGAAUCUUGCGCAAUGGGCGAAAGCCUGACGCAAGCGACGCCGCGUGAGGGAUGACGGCCU